rnacentral:sRNA from 1 species
AAAGAGUCGCCGGUGGCCGCUGCAGACGGAAGCCGAACGAGUGCCUCGGCGGCUGCAGGAUGGGGGACUCCAAAGUGAAAGUGGCGGUGCGGAUACGACCCAUGAACCGGCGAGAGACUGACUUGCAUACCAAAUGUGUGGUGGAUGUGGAUGCAAACAAGGUUAUUCUUAAUCCUGUAAAUACGAAUCUUUCCAAAGGAGAUGCCCGGUGUUUGCAUAUGAUCAUUGUUUCUGGUCUAUGGAUGAAUCUGUCAAAGAAAAGUAUGCAGGUAAUAGAAUCCAGCAUCCUGUCAACUACUGAUGGUAUAGAAGAGGUGUUCAGUAUUUUUUCCUUUACACGAUUGCUUGGCAAACCCCACAAACUGUGUGUUUCCUCUGCUGUCACACACAAUAACAGUCAUCAACACAGAAGAUGACUUAAUGUGACCAAAUGUUGGGGGGGUUUUCCCUGCACCCCAAGCAGCAGACACUGGCUGGGCGUCCUCUAACUCAGUUCCGAUGCUCUCUACCUGGGGACAGCGUCAGCUCCACAGACUGAGGGCUCAGUCCCACAAGACCACUCCCUCCUUCCCACCAGCGCAGGUCCAGGCCUCUAGAACUUCUGACCUACUGGCUUCCAAUUAGGGUUCGCACAACCUUCUCUUUGGGUUUGAUUAAUUUCCUAGAGCGGCUCACAGAACUCAGGGAAACACUCGUGUUUAGGGGUUUAUUACGAGGGAUUUUCUUUAAAGGACACAGGUAAACAGCCAGAUGAAGAGAUACAGAGGGUGAGGUCUGGAAGGGUCCCAAGCACAGGAGCUUCUGUCCUCAUGGAGGUGGCGUGGCGCCCCCGCGGCGUGUGGAUGAGUUCUUACCUGCCUGUUGGGCCCUGUGUGUUUAGCAAUCCAGAAGCUCUCUGAACCCUGUCCUUUUAGGUUUUUAUGGAGGCUUCCUUAUAUAGACAUGAUUGUCAACCGAUUAGAAAUGUGAUUGGACAAAAAGCACAUGAUCUGAACACAGCGCGUCCUGUCUGUUCAGACUUUUCUUGGCCAUUCUGUGUAGCAUUCUUUCCUUUAGGAUAUGAGGCAAGACCUCAUGGAAUGAGAAGCUCUUGACCCACAAUCAGAUGAGAGUCUUGCCUCGGGCAGGUAAAAGGAGGGCAGGAGAUCAGAUAGUUUCCUGAGGCCUAAAGUGCCCCAACGAUAUAAAAGACUGCAGCAAGGGUUAAUGAGCCGGGGGAACUGUGGAUGGUAACCUACAUCUAUAUAAUUACCAUAGGGUAUAUAUGAGUACCAUAGGAUUAUUUUGCACAACUGUAGAAAGUACAGACAACACCCUCCCGUGUUUGCUAUUAGAGUUUUUAAUGUUGAUUGGAAAAUGGGAGAUUCACUGUGUGCCAUUCUUGGUAUACGUUGAUGAAAUUACAUGACUAGCACACACAGUGGCUAUUGCACGCUCACACACCCCAGCUCUUACAUGAGGCCGGAAGCACAAGGUCGCCCCUUAGAUUGCCCUGGAGGCCUGAGACUGGGCUGGAGAGACAAGAUGGCAUAGUGAAAGAAGGGGAGCACCAGCCAAGGAGAAAAGGAACCCUAGGCUGCAGGCCCAGCCCUGCUCCUUACCGCCUCUGCGCCUUUCAGUAAAUCACCUCACCUGUCAGAGCUUCAGUUUUCUCUUUUUGAUGGAGAGGAAUAUACGAUAUUCUCUCUAAAUUUUCUUUUGGCUCUGGAAGUCUGUUACUCCAUUAUUCUUCUAAAUGAUGACUGUCUCAAGCCCCAUCUCACCACAAGUUUAGGACUACAGUGACAGCCUUUGAUUGGCUUUAUUCCUUACUGCUUUUGUCACCUGUUUUUAAACAAUCUCUUUUAAAUAUUAAGCAUCAUAUUGUUUUGGCUUCUGUUAUGAGAAAGAUGAAUAUUAUGGCUGUUUUGAAGUUAAGAUUCAUUUGGUCUAGGUGGCCCAAUAUCAGAAGUAUAAGUUAACUGGUAUU